GCCCCAGUAGCUCAGAGGAUAGAGCAGUGGUUUCCUAAACCAUGUGUCGCAGGUUCGACUCCUGCCUGGGGUA
rnacentral:tRNA from 2 species